rnacentral:rRNA from 1 species
AGAGUUUGAUCCUGGCUCAGAGCGAACGCUGGCGGCGUGCUUAACACAUGCAAGUCGAGUGCGCGUCUGUAGCAAUACAGAUGGCGCACGGCGCACGGGUGCGUAACACGUGGGUAAUCUGCCCUUCGAUGGGGAAUAACCUCGCGAAAGCGAGGCUAAUUCCGCAUAACAUUCCGAUGAUUUAGGUUGUUGGAUUCAAAGCCGUAAGGCGUCGGAGGAGGAGCCCGCGCACGAUUAGCUAGUUGGUGAGGUAACGGCUCACCAAGGCUAUGAUCGUUAGCUGGUCUGAGAGGAUGGCCAGCCACACUGGAACUGAGACACGGUCCAGACUCCUACGGGAGGCAGCAGUGGGGAAUCUUGCACAAUGGGCGAAAGCCUGAUGCAGCGACGCCGCGUGGGGGAUGAAGCUUUUCGGAGUGUAAACCCCUUUCGACCCGGACGAAUGCCCCGCAAGGGGACUGACGGUACGGGUAUAAGAAGCCCCGGCUAACUACGUGCCAGCAGCCGCGGUAAGACGUAGGGGGCCAGCGUUGCUCGGAAUUACUGGGUGUAAAGGGUUCGUAGGCGGUGUGGCAAGUCGGGAGUGAAAUCUCUGGGCUCAACCCAGAGGCUGCUUCCGAAACUGCUGUGCUUGAGUGUGGGAGAGGCGCGUGGAAUUGCAGGUGUAGCGGUGAAAUGCGUAGAUAUCUGCAGGAACACCCGUGGCGAAAGCGGCGCGCUGGACCACAACUGACGCUGAGGAACGAAAGCUAGGGGAGCAAACAGGAUUAGAUACCCUGGUAGUCC